rnacentral:lncRNA from 1 species
UCUUUUUCUUUCCCUUACACGUUUCUGCUUUUGCUCUCAACAUUUUAGCGAGAUUUCUACAUUCUGUCACCUUCAAUUUCCCUGUCCAUUUAUACUUUUUCUGCCAUUUCUUCAAAUAUUUCCCACUACCUGGGAGUCGUAACUCCAUAUACUUUACACCUCCACUUAGUGUAUUUGGUUGAGAACAUAGACUGUAUAUAAGAUGGACAACGUGGUUCCGCCUUCCACCUGUAUACGGAUUUGAAGCCAAAAAGCUCUAGGUAAUUCCGGGUUUUUCUCUACUUCCUUGAAACCAGAGCUGUGCAGUAGCGUUGUGCGCAUUCGGCCUCCCAGUCGCCGAGAGUCCCUUUGAUGACGCUCGGCUCAAACAGCGUAUCCCCCCAGGAGAGCUACGCAAUCCCUGAACGCCCAUAGGCUGUACCAGGUGUCAAUCAUAGAAAACAUGAACCCCCUAAUAACUUUUAAAAAUGGAGCUGUACAGAAAAAAAAGGAUUUAAGCACAAACCAGUCUUACAAUAACUACAUGUCAACAUCACAAGCAGGGGGGAGAAAAAUGUAUGUUCUGUGUAAUAAAUUUCUAAAGUUUGUCCACAGUCCCAUAAGCUUUGCUGGCAGAGGCGGGAUUUAUGAUCUGUACUGCAGCCCACCAUCAGAGGGUGCUGUUCUCGGAGUGGCUUCACCCAGCGAGGAGGCAGACUCUGUCCAUCUUAUAUUCAGUCUAUGGUUGAGAACCACUGUUCCCCAUUAUGUCAACUGUUUGUUGUCCUCAGACUAGAUGUCCUUGACAACGGCCUUAAUCCAGAGGUCUGAUUCCCUACUUCAACAAGCCAGUGACUUUAUGUUCACACCGGUAGGUUUCGGGUCACUGUUGCUGCUUCAGAAAUCAGACUUAGCAUUCAUUUCUCAGCAUUCACUCACUCAUUCACACUUUUUGUCAUGACACGAAUCAAGGCUGAUUCAAUCCCGUCUACAACACCAGAAUGUUGUCAGACCGUCUACGGCACCGAUAUACCAUCAGACCAAGUGCUACUCUAUUUUUAUACCGGUUACUUCCCGUCUGCAGUCGUCUGCACCGUGGCGGUAAGUGUGGCUGGCACUGAGCACAGCAUUGCCGAAAUCAAGAAGAAGUGGUCUGAUCUAAAGGUGGAGGCAAAGAAAAAAGUGGCUUUGCACCGUCGGAGUGUGGCGACGACAGGUGAGGAUCAGAAAACACAAGCACAUGUGACACUCAUGCAUGUGUUCCAAAAAAACUGCUCCGUUAUCCACCGCUGCUUAUGUGGUGAAAGUUUGUAAACCAAAAAGAUUUAGUCAUAUUAAUCUGAAAACAAAUGCAUGUAAAUGGAAAUUGUUUUUCUGCACAUUUGUAAAUUCAAAUUCAAACUUUCUACACCGCCACAGUGGGGUCUGUGCUUUCUGCGAGCAUCACUGCCUGGUACAGCAGCUGCAGCUCUCAGGACAGAAAGGCCCUGCAUCGAGUCAUCCGUUGUGCUUAACGCAUCACCCGUACUGCACUGCCCGGCCUCCAGGACAUCUACACCCAGCGGUGCAGGUCCAGGGCAAGACGGAUUAUCAAACACUCACCAUCUCAUCCACAGACUGUUUGAGUGGCUGCCCUCGGGUAAGAGGCUUCGCUCUAUCAGAGCCAGGACUGAGAGGUUGAAAGGGAACUUCUUCCCCCAGGCCACUCGGAUCCUGACCCCCUCAUAACACACACCCCAUAAUUGACUUCACAACAUCCUCUGAACAGACUUUACUGCAGAAGAUAACUUACUGGUCACUUUACCUGUUUACCUCUGUUACCUUGUUUACUUGGUACAUAGGAGUCAAUAUUUCUAAUUAUUUUAAUUUUAUUUUUAUUUUAUGGUUAUUGUACAUAGGAUGUAUAUAGGAGUGGAUAUUUAUCUUAUUUCUAUUUUUAUCUUAUUUCUAUUUUUAUUUUAUCUCUUUCUAUAGAUUAUUUGAUGUUCUUCUUACUACUAUUCUGUUUUUUGGCACAAUCGCAGAUUCAUUUCACUGCUACUGUACCUGUACAUUUAGGCAUGUGACAAAUAAAACUUGAAACUUGAAACUUGUGCUGCAUUGCGCACGACUGUCACUGUAUGGCUUUUUAUACAUGCGCUUUCCAUUAACCAAUUGUUCUCACCAUGCUCCAAUUGUCUCCACUAGGUGCGUAAGCAAGGUGUGGAGUUUGCUUAAAGUUGCGCACAUUCCUACACUAGUUUUUUUUAUAAAUCCCAACUCUUGCGUAAGAAGUGGCGUAAGCACUUCCAAGCCAGGUUUUGAGCGUAAGCAAGCUUUAUAAAUGAGGCCCCAGGUCACUUAAGGGUUGACCUCUCCCUGUCUCCAGUCUCACUCACUGGCAGACUAUGACACUACAAUCUUUCUAUUGUUAUCUGUGUCAUAAAAGGUACCAAAUACUCACAUCAGGUCCGGUUCUAUCGAACAUGAAUCCUCCUUCGGAAUCCCGUCAAUCCACGCAGGUCAACCGAGACAACGUCUACUUCACCGGCCUGGCGAAGAAUUCACUUCCCAGGGCUUUCUUCAGCCUGGCUGUCGACAGACCGGCGUCGUCGU